UACGGCCAUAUCAUUUGAGAUACUGAUUCUCGUACGCUCAUCGAAAUUAAGCAACAUCGAGCCUGGUCAGUACCUAGAUGGGUGACCGCUUGAGAAUUUCAGGUGCU